CAGCACAGAGACAGACCGGCUGAAUGACUCCAUACAACUGAUACAUAACCUUUCAGUGUUCUCCUGUCUGCCAACCUCAGAAUUUCACAUAGGAAAGACAUAGGUGAAAAAAGGACUCCUGCACGCUUGCACAGCCUGAGCUUUCUGAGCACAUCUACUGAAAACCCACCCCUGGGAAGCACAGACUGAGCUGCUGUCACCUCCCGAGAAGCACGAGGCCAUCCCUGGGCGAGCAGCGAGCGAGGAGAUGCAUCCAAAUCAGAGGCAGCGUGUGAGGUUGCCCUGCAGCUAACUGAAAAACAUGGCUUCAAUGUGAGAAGUAACUGAAGCACACAUUGGCAGUGGGUGGCAGAAGGGCCCAAGGUUUCAAAAGCAAACUGCAUGGGACCGCUGAAGAAACAGUCCAUUGAAAACCCACCUCAUGUAAGUUUUAGGCAAAGGUGGUCUCCAGCCCUUUCAAGCAGAAUUUCAAGUUGCUGAGCUCAUCCUCCAGCACCACUUGGUACUACUCAGGGUAGCACUUCCAUUGCCAGGAUCCAGCUCAGUAGAACAGUCCAUCUUUGCUCUCAUCAUUUGGCCCAAGCACACCUCAGCACCCAGCAAGUUCCCUCAUUCCUACUGAAGAGAUGGGAAUCCAGUGUUCAUCCUGAGUACCCUGCUACACCUUCUGCUUCCGUUUCCAUUUGCAAGAAGUGUUUGCUGCUUCUGUGGAAUUUAUUAAAGAUUUCUUUAAUAAAACUACUGUUG
rnacentral:lncRNA from 1 species